AACGAACGCUGGCGGCAUGCCUAGCACAUGCAAGUCGAACGAGACCUUCGGGUCUAGUGGCGCAUGGGUGUGUCACGCGUGGGAACCUGCCCUUAGGUACCGAAUAACUCUCCGACAGGGGUGCUAAUGCCGGAUAAUGUCUACUGACACAAGAUUUAUCGCGUUUGGAUGGGCACGCGUUGGAUUAGCUUGUUGGUAGGGUAAAAGCCUACCACGGCGAAGAUCCAUAGCUGGUUUGAGAGGAUGAUCAGCCACACUGGGAGUGGGACACGGCCCAGACUCCUACGGGAGGCAGGAGUGGGGAAUAUUGGAAAAUGGGGGGAGGCCUGAUCGAGCUAGGCUGCGAGAGUGAUGAAGUUAGUAGAGUUGUAAAGCUCUUUUACCCGGGAUGGUAAUGACAGUACCGGGAGAAUAAGCACCGGCUAACUCCGUG
rnacentral:rRNA from 1 species